rnacentral:rRNA from 1 species
GUUUGAUCCUGGCUCAGGACGAACGCUGCGGCGUGCUUAACACAUGCAAGUCGAACGGUGAAGGGAGCUUGCUCCUGGAUCAGUGGCGAACGGGUGAGUAACACGUGAGCAACCUACCCUUGACUCUGGGAUAACAGUUGGAAACAGCUGCUAAUACCGGAUACGACCCCGGCAGGCAUCUACCGGGGUGGAAAGCUCCGACGGUCAAGGAUGGGCUCGCGGCCUAUCAGCUUGUUGGUGGGGUAACGGCCCACCAAGGCGACGACGGGUAGCCGGCCUGAGAGGGCGACCGGCCACACUGGGACUGAGAUACGGCCCAGACUCCUACGGGAGGCAGCAGUGGGGAAUAUUGGUCAAUGGGGGAAACCCUGAACCAGCAACGCCGCGUGAAGGAAGAAGGCCCUCGGGUUGUAAACUUCUGUUUUCAGGGACGAAGAAAGUGACGGUACCUGAAGAGAAAGCUCCGGCAAACUACGUGCCAGCAGCCGCGGUAAUACGUAGGUGGCAAGCGUUGUCCGGAAUUAUUGGGCGUAAAGAGCAUGUAGGCGGGAAUCUAAGUCUGUUGUGAAAAUGCGGGGCUCAACCCCGUAUGGCGAUGGAAACUGGAUUUCUUGAGUGCAGGAGAGGAAAGGGGAAUUCCCAGUGUAGCGGUGAAAUGCGUAGAUAUUGGGAGGAACACCAGUGGCGAAGGCGCCUUUCUGGACUGUGUCUGACGCUGAGAUGCGAAAGCCAGGGUAGCGAACGGGAUUAGAUACCCCGGUAGUCCUGGCCGUAAACGAUGGGUACUAGGUGUAGGGGGUAUCGACCCCUCCUGUGCCGGAGUUAACGCAAUAAGUACCCCGCCUGGGGAGUACGGCCGCAAGGUUGAAACUCAAAGGAAUUGACGGGACCCCGCACAAGCAGCGGAGCAUGUUGUUUAAUUCGAUGCAACGCGAAGAACCUUACCUGGGUUUGACAUAUAUCGGAAACGUUCAGAGAUGGGCGCCCCGUAAGGUCGGUAUACAGGUGGUGCAUGGCUGUCGUUAGCUCGUGUCGUGAGAUGUUGGGUUAAGUCCCGCAACGAGCGCAACCCUCGUCCUAUGUUGCCAGCGGGUAAUGCCGGGGACUCAUAGGAUACUGCCGGUGACAAACCGGAGGAAGGUGGGGAUGACGUCAAGUCAGCAUGCCCCUUAUGUCCAGGGCUACAAACGUGCUACAAUGGCCGGUACAAAGGGCUGCAAUACCGCGAGGUGGAGCGAAUCCCAAAAAGCCGGUCCCAGUUCGGAUUGGAGGCUGAAACUCGCCUCCAUGAAGUCGGAGUUGCUAGUAAUCGCAGAUCAGCAAUGCUGCGGUGAAUACGUUCCCGGGCCUUGUACACACCGCCCGUCACACCACGAAAGUCGGUAACACCCGAAGCCMSUGVGCUAACCCGCAAGGGAGGCAGCCGUCGAAGGUGGG